ensembl:lncRNA
UGACAGUCCCAGCACAGUUCUGCAGGCUCUCGUGGGCUUGUGGGGCUCAUCCCCCAGCUAGGUGGAGCCCCACUGUGCUGGCUUUCUGCCCUCUAGGGUUGGUUUCUUUCCUCAGCUGGAGUGGAAGAAGCCAUGGGGAUUAAGCCACUUGGAUGGAGAAGGCAGUGGCACCCCACUCCAGCACUCUUGCCUGGAAAAUCCCAUGGAUGGAGGAACCUUGUGGGCCGCAGUCCAUGGGGUCGCUAAGAGUCGGACAUGACUGAGCAACUUCACUUUCACUUUUCACUUUCAUGCAUUGGAGAAGGAAAUGGCAACCCACUCCAGUGUUCUUGCCUGGAGAAUCCCAGGGACAGGGGAGCCUGGUGGGCUGCUGUCUAUGGGGUCGCACAGAGUCAGACAUGACUGAAGCGACUUAGCAGCAGCAGCAGCAGCAGCAGCAGCAUGGUGGCUUCAGUUCCACUGACUAUGCCAGAGCCUGCAACGAGAAAGGAAGAUGAGGCUGGGUAUGACCAGUGCGUGUGAGAUUUAGGUCCUGGCUGUGAUGCACUCUGGGGCCAAGGCAUGACCAGGCUCAGGACUAAGGCGAUCAUCCAUGUGGCUAAACCCCCAGGGCUGCUUCUGCUCCAGAGGUUUGUGUGUGGUCUCCAAGGUGGUGGGAUGAACUGCCCCCAACCAUGACCCAGAGGUCACGUUUCACAAAGCAGGGACACUGGAGCCCGGCUCAAGACUGAACUGGUUUCCAGGUGGACCUGGGGUAUAGGGAAGGGACAUUGCACGACCUGGGAAUGGACUCUGUCUGGACACAUUUGAGCUGCAGCGUUGUUGAAUUUGUAACAAGAAAAAUGGUCCAAGAACAAAUGACAUUAAAGUUCUUGAGGAAUCAGACCACAGCCCAGUUACAGCCCAAGCCUGGGCUGGGGCAACAGUAGCGUUGUGGUGGGCACCUCAAAAGCCUGUCACCUGUGAGGAUCCCAGCAAAAGGGAUUCUGCCACAACUGACCUGGUUCCCGAAGCCUUUUGUCCUUGGGGAUCUGAGACUUCCUUCCCCAUCCCAGAGACACUGUGGUGCUGGAGGCACAGGCAGGGGUCCUGCCCCCUCCUGGAAGCACUCUAUGUCUCCCACAGGCAAGUGAUCCCCCACAGUAAAUGCCAGGCCAGGGAAGGCUCUCUGAACCUUGGGCCUGCCACCUUCUCCCUUACUGAGACCCCCUCUGCCCCUCAGGCAACCCUACAGGGGCCAGUGAGAGCCUCAGGGCACUAUUCACCAAAAGCCUGAAUAGUCGAUGGGAGUGCAGCCCACAGUGGUCUGGGGCCUGGUGCUGCCCCCGCGCAGGUCCACCCCUGCUGACCCAUGAGACUUAAUCCAGAUCCAGGGUCUCCUAACAUAACAGCCAAAAUAUCCAGGAUACAACAGGAAAUUACCUCUUGCACCAGGAACCAAGAAAUUUACAGCCUGAAUGAGCAAACACAAUUGACUGAGGCCAGCAUCCAGAUGAAUCAGGUUUUGGGAUUACAGUAUCUGGCCAGGAUUUAAAGCCACCGCUGCAACAAUGCUUCAACGAGCAAGUCAAAAUUCUACUCAAACAAAUGGAGAAACAGAAACAGAGCCAUAGCAAAGAACUAGAAGUCAUGAAAAAAGCCGAACAGAUGGCAUUGCAAAAAUGUAUAAAGCAAAUUAAAGAUCCACUGGGAGCUCAGAAGCAGAGUGGAGAUGAUGGAGGAGUGAAUCUGGGAACCUGACUGAGCAAUGAUGAGUUCAAUCUGAUCGGCAGACACUUGAAACAUGAGGGGACCUACGGGACAACUGUUUGUUAUCGCUGAGUCUUAGAUGGUGAGGGGAAGGAGAAUGGGGCUAAGGAGAAUUUGAAGCAAUGAGCUAAACUCUCCAAAUCCAGCAAAAGACACGACCAUGUAGAUUCAAGAAGCUGUGUGAACCCCAACAGGAGCCUAAAACAGCAACAACAAAAAUCCAUGCAAGACUUUUCAUCAUGAACUUUAUGAAAACCAAAGGCAAAGAAACAAUCUUGAAAGCAGCCAGACAGAAGUGAUGUCAGAUCAUGUAUACUGAAUGACAAUGGUGGAUUUCUCAUUUUAAACCACUGAGGCCAGAAGGAAGUGACAGUCUUCAAGGCUGAAAGAAAAGAAAUACCAGCUGUGAAUUCUAUGUUCAGGGAUACUACCUUCAGGAAUAAAGGGAAAACAGGCUUUCUCAGGUGAAGGAACUACAAGAAUCAGUAUUUAGUAGAGCUCUUCUUAACCAUCUGGCUAGAGGAAGUUCUUUGAACAGAAGUACAAAUGAUGAAAGGAACUUGGAGCAUCAGGAAAGAAAACAGAACAGUGGAAAGAAUGACAGGCCCUGCUUUUCCUCACAAGUAUUAUAAAUAAAAAAUGAUUGAUGAUUGAAACAAAGAUUAUUCCACCACCCGAUACUCAAGACAGUGAUAUUUCAAAGUGGGGAAGGUAAAGGGACCUCAAUGGAGGUGACAUUUCCACACAUCAGGCCAAGUGGUGAAAUGCUGACACCAGCAGAUAAUGACAAAUCACAGACACACAUAUGUAGUCAUAGAUUACACUGACUAAAUCAGUAAUUUAACAAGCAUAGAAACUAUGCAAAAAGAUCUACUUCAUAACACUAAAUACAUCAAAAUGAAAUCUUAAAUGAAAACUAAUAGGAAGGCAAGAAAACAAACAAGGAAACAAAAACAAAGCAAUCGCAUAUCAGAAUUUAGUCCUAGCUUAUCAGUAAUUGGAGAAGGAAAUGGCACCCCACUCCAGUACUCUUGCCUGGAGAAUCCCAUGGACAGAGAAGCCUGGUAGACUACAGUCCAUGAGAUCGCAAAGAGUCGAACACGACUGAGCAACUUCACUUUUUAUCAGUUAUUACCUUUAAUGUAAAUGUCUGAAGAAAAACAUUGCAGAAUGAAAAUGCCAUUUACAAGACAGUUCAAAUUCAGUGACAGACGUAAGUUGAAAUUACAAAGCUGUAAAAAUAUAUACCAUACCAACAUUAAUUUAAAAAAUAUAGGAACCACUGUACUAAUACCUGAGAAAGUACACUUUAGGGUAAAGAAUAUUACUAGAGACAAGGAUGGACAUUAUACAAUUAUAAAAGGACCAGUUCACCAGAAAGACAUGAGGGUCCUAAAUGGACACUCAUCAGAAGCUCAACACAUGAGUCCAAAGCUGGUUGAGCUGAAAGGAAACAGACAAACCC